rnacentral:lncRNA from 1 species
AUCAAAUUGAAAUUGCACCUGAGGACCAAGAAAAGACCACUUUCACAUGUCCCUUUGGUACUUUUGCUUAUCUUAGAAUGCCUUUUGGAUUAUGUAAUGCACCAGCUACAUUUCAAAGAUGCAUGCUUAGCAUUUUUAGCGACAUGAUUGAAAGAUCUUUGGAAGUUUUCAUGGAUGAUUUUACUAUUUUUGGGGAUUCAUUUGAUGAUUGUCUAACUAACUUGCAAAAAGUUUUAGUUAGGUGUGAAGAAAAGAAUCUUGUGCUCAACUGGGAAAAAUGUCAUUUUAUGGUCACUAAGGGCAUCGUACUUGGUCAUAUUGUAUCACCUAACGGAAUUGAGGUAGACAAAUCUAAAACUGAAUUGAUUUCUAAUUUGCCUACUCCACAUAGUGUUAAAGAGGUAAGAUCUUUUUUAGGACAUGCUGGUUUUUAUAGAAGGUUUAUCAAAGACUUUAGUGCCAUAUCUAAACCAUUGUGUAAUCUCUUAUCUAAAGACAUGCCUUUUGAAUGGACUAAGUCUUGUCAAGAAGCUUUUGUUAAACUUAAGAACAUGCUUACUUGUGCUCCUAUCAUGCAACCUCCAGAUUGGAAUUUACCUUUUGAAAUCAUGUGUGAUGCUAGUGAUUAUGCUGUUGGAGCUGUCUUAGGCCAAAGAAAAGAUAAGAAACCUCAUGUCAUUUACUAUGCAAGUAAAACUCUAAAUAAUACUCAAAUGAAU